rnacentral:lncRNA from 1 species
UCAAUUGCUGCCAUUGCUAGAUAUCUGUUCUUGAGGUCUCUUUUGAGCAAUAUCUCUUGUGGGCUUUAGUUCCUGUGUUCUUAGACAACAUCUAGGAUCCCUAUGAGUUUUUGCAGCAGAAGCCUGUUGUCCCCUAUCUUUGAUCUUGCCCAAGCCCUUAGCCUUUUUGUAGUGCGCUGCAUUUUUGUGUGGAGUCUAAGGAAAGGGUUAUGCAUUGUCAGUUGUCUGUUCCAUGUGUCACUGACUUCUUCUUCGAAGCAUUGUAUGCUGGGCUAGAAGGAUUAAAAACGAAAGCCUCUGUAAGUUCUGAUGUUGUAGCCUGCAGUCAGCAGUAAAGGGCAAUGAUCUGACACCAGUGAUGAAUCUGCCUGCAACUUGCAAUUUGGUAGCAUGAAUUCCCACUCAGCGGUACAAAAAACCCUAUCAAUCCUAGUGUGAGUCACAUUAUUGGACCAUGCGAAUUUUCUCCCUCUCAAAUGGAUCUCCUUUAACUCCAUCUCCUCAACAGCAUUCCUGGGAGCUCCCAUCAAUCGUCUGUUGAUGUUGUCAUUGCUCUUGUCUUGGGCACUUAGUAUCAUGUUGAAGUCCCCCAUCAGUAACCACCUAUCUGAAUCUGCCAGCUGACAUAAUCUGAUUUCAUUCAGGAAUUCAAUUUUCUCAGCAUCAUUUUGUGGUCCAUAUACCCCAGUCAACCACCAACUGAUUGGUGUUGUCUUGGCUUCUAACUUUGCAGUGACUGUUUAUUCUGUGUUGCGGAUGAGACAAUUUGUAAUAAUCCUCGUGCAUAGCCAGUAGGACUCCCCCUCUAGUUGCUUGAGCCGGCAAGUAGGUGAAACUUGUUGCAAACUGUGGUCCCAAGGUUUCCUUGACCAUCAUGUCAUCUAUAAAUUCCAUCUUAGUUUCUUGCAGGCAGACAAUGGUGCAUUUGUGCUCAGCCACUAGAUCCUUGACCACUUUUCUUGUAGAUUUACCAUUUAACCCCCUCACAUUCCAGUUUAGGAUGAUACAAUUCUGCUCAUUCAUUUGUAACUUGUGGAUCUUCUCAGCCCAAUUUGAGCCCCUUCCAUAUUCCCCUCCCAAACACCAGUACCCUUCUUCCACCUUUCUCCAAACUCUGCCAUACUACUCCCAACAACACAUAACGAAGAAGAAAUAGAAAACAGAUUGCCCACACUGGGCUCUCCCUCACACCACAACAACCUGAUAUGAUAGAACCUCUAGUCACUUGUCCACACUGGACAACACCAGAAACACCACGCGAGACGACACAUAGGAACUGAUACAAACCCACACACCUCUCCCCCAACACAAAAAGAAUUUGAAGUCACUCAUCUGCCUCCAAUGCCAUCGCGUUAAGAGGCCCCCCCUCUAGGUCAUUCAGACCAAAAGCUUCACGAAAUCCAUCCAUUGCAUUAUCCAUCAAAGGUUCCACAAAUUGGCUUCUGAAUCUAUGAUGGUCAGCUUCAUCUACCUUCUUC